GGUUCAGGAUGAACGCUAGCUACAGGCUUAACACAUGCAAGUCGAGGGGCAGCAUGGUCUUAGCUUGCUAAGGCCGAUGGCGACCGGCGCACGGGUGAGUAACACGUAUCCAACCUGCCGUCUACUCUUGGACAGCCUUCUGAAAGGAAGAUUAAUACAAGAUGGCAUCAUGAGUCCGCAUGUUCACAUGAUUAAAGGUAUUCCGGUAGACGAUGGGGAUGCGUUCCAUUAGAUAGUAGGCGGGGUAACGGCCCACCUAGUCUUCGAUGGAUAGGGGUUCUGAGAGGAAGGUCCCCCACAUUGGAACUGAGACACGGUCCAAACUCCUACGGGAGGCAGCAGUGAGGAAUAUUGGUCAAUGGGCGAGAGCCUGAACCAGCCAAGUAGCGUGAAGGAUGACUGCCCUAUGGGUUGUAAACUUCUUUUAUAAAGGAAUAAAGUCGGGUAUGGAUACCCGUUUGCAUGUACUUUAUGAAUAAGGAUCGGCUAACUCCGUGCCAGCAGCCGCGGUAAUACGGAGGAUCCGAGCGUUAUCCGGAUUUAUUGGGUUUAAAGGGAGCGUAGAUGGAUGUUUAAGUCAGUUGUGAAAGUUUGCGGCUCAACCGUAAAAUUGCAGUUGAUACUGGAUAUCUUGAGUGCAGUUGAGGCAGGCGGAAUUCGUGGUGUAGCGGUGAAAUGCUUAGAUAUCACGAAGAACUCCGAUUGCGGAGGCAGCCUGCUAAGCUGCAACUGACAUUGAGGCUCGAAAGUGUGGGUAUCAAACAGGAUUAGAUACCCUGGUAGUCCACACGGUAAACGAUGAAUACUCGCUGUUUGCGAUAUACUGCAAGCGGCCAAGCGAAAGCGUUAAGUAUUCCACCUGGGGAGUACGCCGGCAACGGUGAAACUCAAAGGAAUUGACGGGGGCCCGCACAAGCGGAGGAACAUGUGGUUUAAUUCGAUGAUACGCGAGGAACCUUACCCGGGCUUAAAUUGCAGAUGAAUUACGGUGAAAGCCGUAAGCCGCAAGGCAUCUGUGAAGGUGCUGCAUGGUUGUCGUCAGCUCGUGCCGUGAGGUGUCGGCUUAAGUGUCAUAACGAGCGCAACCCUUGUUGUCAGUUACUAACAGGUUCCGCUGAGGACUCUGACAAGACUGCCAUCGUAAGAUGUGAGGAAGGUGGGGAUGACGUCAAAUCAGCACGGCCCUUACGUCCGGGGCUACACACGUGUUACAAUGGGGGGUACAGAGGGCCGCUACCACGCGAGUGGAUGCCAAUCCCCAAAACCUCUCUCAGUUCGGACUGGAGUCUGCAACCCGACUCCACGAAGCUGGAUUCGCUAGUAAUCGCGCAUCAGCCACGGCGCGGUGAAUACGUUCCCGGGCCUUGUACACACCGCCCGUCAAGCCAUGGAAGCCGGGGGUACAAGAAGUGCGUAACCGCGAGGAGCGCCCUAGGGUA
rnacentral:rRNA from 1 species